rnacentral:rRNA from 1 species
AUACGGAGGAUCCGAGCGUUAUCCGGAUUUAUUGGGUUUAAAGGGUGCGCAGGCGGCCAUUUAAGUCAUCGGUUAAAUCGUGGGGCUCAACCCCAUUCUGCCGUUGAUACUGGGUGGCUUGAUUGCGGUCGAGGUUGGCGGAAUUCGUUGUGUAGCGGUGAAAUGCAUAGAUAUGACGAAGAACACCGAUUGCGUAGGCAGCCGACCAGACCGCAAAUGACGCUCAUGCACGAAAGUGCGGGGAUCGAACAGGAUUAGAUACCCUGGUAGUCCGCACAGUAAACGAUGAAUACUUGUUUUCGGCGAUAUAAUGUCGGAGGCAAAGCGAAAGCGAUAAGUAUUCCACCUGGGGAGUACGCCGGCAACGGUGAAACUCAAAUGAAUUGACGGGG